GCGAACGCUGGCGGCCGGCCUAACACCUGCCAGUCGAACGGAUCCUUCGGGAUUAGUGGCGGACGGGUGAGUAACACGUGGGAACGUGCCCUUUGGUUCGGAACAACUCAGGGAAACUUGAGCUAAUACCGGAUGUGCCCUUCGGGGGAAAGAUUUAUCGCCAUUGGAGCGGCCCGCGUCUGAUUAGCUAGUUGGUGAGGUAACGACCCACCAAGGCGACGAUCAGUAGCUGGUCUGAGAGGAUGAUCAGCCACACUGGGACUGAGACACGGCCCAGACUCCUACGGGAGGCAGCAGUGGGGAAUCUUGCGCAAUGGGCGAAAGCCUGACGCAGCCAUGCCGCGUGAAUGAUGAGGGUCUUAGGAUUGUAAAAUUCUUUCAGCGGGGACGAUAAUGACGGUACCCGCAGAAGAAGCUCCGGCUAACUUCGUG
rnacentral:rRNA from 1 species